rnacentral:rRNA from 1 species
AGGGUGUAAACGCUGCAGACUUGGUGUUGGGAACCCUUCGGGGGUGCUCAGUGUCGGAGAGAAGUUGUUAAGUCCGCUACUUGGGGAGUACGUCCGCAAGGAUGAAACUUAAAGGAAUUGGCGGGGGAGCACCGCAACGGGAGGAGCGUGCGGUUUAAUUGGAUCCAACGCCGGACAUCUCACCGGAUAAGACAGCUGAAUGAUUGUCAAUCUGAAGGUUUACAUGACUAGCUGAGAGGUGGUGCAUGGCGUCAGUGACU